CGGCCUCGGCGCCGAGUGAGCGCGCGCGGAGCCCGCACCGGCGGCGGAGCCGCUAUGGGUCCGCCAGGCCCCGGGCACCGCGCCGCUCGAGCACCGGCCUAGAGCCAGAACUGAAGCUACAAGAUGGCUGACCAGGACCCAGGGGGCAUUAGCCCCCUCCAACAAAUGGUGGCAUCUGGCGCGGGGGCUGUGGUCACCUCCCUCUUCAUGACCCCCCUGGAUGUGGUGAAGGUACGCUUGCAGUCUCAGCGCCCUUCAGUGGCCAAUGAGCUGAUGCCUCCCUCCAGACUCUGGAGCCUCUCCUACGCCAAACUGCCCUCCUCUCUCCGAUCCACAGGGAAGUGCCUCCUGUACUGCAGUGGUGUCCUAGAGCCCCUCUACCUGUGCCCAAAUGGUGCUCGCUGUGCCACCUGGUUUCAGGACCCCACUCGCUUCACUGGUACCAUGGAUGCUUUUGUGAAGAUUGUGCGACAUGAGGGUACCAGGACCCUGUGGAGCGGCCUCCCAGCCCCCCUGGUGAUGACUGUGCCAGCCACUGCCUCCUACUUCACCGCCUACGACCAACUCAAGGCCUUCCUGUGUGGUCGAGCCCUGACCUCUGACCUCUACGCUCCCAUGGUGGCUGGCGUACUGGCUCGCCUGGGCACCGUGACUGUGAUCAGCCCCCUAGAGCUGGUGCGGACAAAGCUGCAGGCUCAGCACCUAUCAUACCGGGAGCUGGGCACCUGUGUCCAAGCAGCUGUGGCUCAGGGUGGCUGGCACUCACUCUGGCUGGGCUGGGGUCCCACUGCCCUUCGGGAUGUGCCCUUCUCAGCUCUGUACUGGUUCAACUAUGAGCUGGUGAAGAGCUGGCUGAGUGGGCUCAGGCCAAAGGACCAGACCUCCGUGGGCAUCAGCUUUGUCGCUGGCGGCAUCUCAGGGAUGGUGGCAGCCACCCUGACUUUACCCUUCAACGUGGUGAAGACUCAGUGCCAGGUCGCGCUAGGAGCAGUGGAGGCUGUGAGAGUGAUGCCCCCGCACACCGACUCCACGUGGCUGCUGCUCCGGAGGAUCCUGGCUGAGUCAGGCACCAGGGGCCUCUUUGCAGGCUUCCUCCCGAGGAUCAUCAAGGCUGCCCCUUCCUGGGCCAUCAUGAUCAGCGCUUAUGAGUUCGGCAAAAGCUUCUUCCAGAGGCUCAACAGGGAACAGCUUCUGAGCCCUUGAAAGGAGCGAGGGGACAAGGACCCUACCUCUUCCAUGGACAGGGUGGGGCAGGAGGAGACUGAGCCAAGUGCCUUUUCCUUCAGCACUGAGGGGAGGGGCCUCAUUUCUCUUUCCUCCCCACUCAGCCCCAGGGGUAGGGGAAUGCCCCUCUGCACCCACCCAGAGCACCCCACCAACCCCCGACUGCUUCCUGCUGUUCCCCAUUCCCCGGCCCUGAGAAUCAUCACUCUCUCCCCUCAAGUUCAAGACCAAAUCUGCUCACUUCUCCCCUCAUUUCCCUGUGGGUUUGCUGUAAGUGAGCCUAGGAGCUCUAGGAGCCACAAAACCCUGGGCCUGGCGUAGUCUGCACCCACUCCUGUUAAUUUGUUGAGUCUAAAGAUGAUAAACUUCUUUCCA